rnacentral:rRNA from 1 species
ACGCUUCUUUCCUCCCGAGUGCUUGCACUCAAUUGGAAAGAGGAGUGGCGGACGGGUGAGUAACACGUGGGUAACCUACCCAUCAGAGGGGGACAACACUUGGAAACAGGUGCUAAUACCGCAUAACAGUUUAUGCUGCAUGGCAUAAGAGUGAAAGGCGCUUUCGGGUGUCGCUGAUGGAUGGACCCGCGGUGCAUUAGCUAGUUGGUGGGGUAACGGCUCACCAAGGCCACGAUGCAUAGCCGACCUGAGAGGGUGAUCGGCCACACUGGGACUGAGACACGGCCCAGACUCCUACGGGAGGCAGCAGUAGGGAAUCUUCGGCAAUGGACGAAAGUCUGACCGAGCAACGCCGCGUGAGUGAAGAAGGUUUUCGGAUCGUAAAACUCUGUUGUUAGAGAAGAACAAGGACGUUAGUAACUGAACGUCCCCUGACGGUAUCUAACCAGAAAGCCACGGCUAACUACGUGCCAGCAGCCGCGGUAAUACGUAGGUGGCAAGCGUUGUCCGGAUUUAUUGGGCGUAAAGCGAGCGCAGGCGGUUUCUUAAGUCUGAUGUGAAAGCCCCCGGCUCAACCGGGGAGGGUCAUUGGAAACUGGGAGACUUGAGUGCAGAAGAGGAGAGUGGAAUUCCAUGUGUAGCGGUGAAAUGCGUAGAUAUAUGGAGGAACACCAGUGGCGAAGGCGGCUCUCUGGUCUGUAACUGACGCUGAGGCUCGAAAGCGUGGGGAGCAAACAGGGAUUAGAUACCCUGGUAGUCCACGCCGUAAACGAUGAGUGCUAAGUGUUGGGAGGGUUUCCGCUCUUUCAGUGCUGCAGC